AUAAUUACAUCCUGGACUUCAAACCUAGAUAUCCUGUACAAGUUUGAAACUUUUGGGAGGAGUUGAGAGGAAUGAGAGUAUUUUACAUGUGGGAGAAAUAUAAAUAAUUUGUGGCCAGAUGGUGGACUGUGAUGAUUUAAAAUACAUCCACUGAUUAUUUAAUAUUCCUUUCAAAAGAUGGAACAUAAUUCCCCUCCACCUGAAUGUGGGCUGGAGUUAGUGACUCGUUUGUGGUAAAUAGAAUGUAGAAGUGAUUGUGUGUGAUGUCAGAGACUAGGUCAUGAAAGUGAUGGUGUCUUUCGGCUUGCUCUUACUCUUGGAUGAUCUGCUCUGGGGAUAGUUGUGAGUAGGCCUGCAGCCCACAGCCAUGUGAGUGAGCCUUUUGAAGAGUGGACCUUCCAGGCCCAGUCAAGCCUUCAGAUAGUGGGACUCUGUGCUCAUGCCAGUAA